rnacentral:rRNA from 1 species
UACGAAGGGGGCUAGCGUUGCUCGGAAUCACUGGGCGUAAAGGGUGCGUAGGCGGGUCUUUAAGUCAGGUGUGAAAUCCUGGAGCUCAACUCCAGAACUGCCUUUGAUACUGAAGAUCUUGAGUUCGGGAGAGGUGAGUGGAACUGCGAGUGUAGAGGUGAAAUUCGUAGAUAUUCGCAAGAACACCAGUGGCGAAGGCGGCUCACUGGCCCGAUACUGACGCUGAGGCACGGAAGCGUGGGGAGCAAACAGG